rnacentral:rRNA from 1 species
CUCCAGACUCCUACGGGAGGCAGCAGUGGGGAAUAUUGCACAAUGGGGGGAACCCUGAUGCAGCGACGCCGCGUGGGUGAAGGAGCACCUCGGUGCGUAAAGCCCUAUCGGCAGGGAAGAAACAGACGGUACCUGACUAAGAAGCCCCGGCUAACUACGUGCCAGCAGCCGCGGUAAUACGUAGGGGGCAAGCGUUAUCCGGAUUUACUGGGUGUAAAGGGGGCGCAGACGGCGAUGCAAGCCAGGAGUGAAAGCCCGGGGCCCAGCCCCGGGACUGCUCUUGGAACUGCGUGGCUGGAGUGCAGGAGGGGCAGGCGGAAUUCCUGGUGUAGCGGUGAAAUGCGUAGAAAUCAGGAGGAACACCGGCGGCGAAGGCGGCCUGCUGGACUGAAACUGACGCUGAGGCACGAAAGCGUGGGGAGCGAACAGGAUUAGAUACCCCGGUA